GAAAUGCGAUAAGUAAUGUGAAUUGCAGAAUUCAGUGAAUCAUCGAAUCUUUGAACGCACAUUGCGCCCCCUGGUAUUCCGGGGGGCAUGCCUGUCCGAGCGUCAUUACAACCCUCAAGCUCAGCUUGGUGUUGGGCCCCGCCGCCCCGGCGGGCCCUAAAGUCAGUGGCGGUGCCGUCCGGCUCCGAGCGUAGUAAUUCUUCUCGCUCUGGAGGUCCGGUCGUGUGCUUGCCAGCAACCCCCAAUUUUUUUCAGGUUGACCUCGGAUCAGGUAGGGAUACCCGCUGAACUUAA
rnacentral:misc_RNA from 1 species